rnacentral:rRNA from 1 species
UACGUAGGUGACAAGCGUUGUCCGGAUUUACUGGGCGUAAAGAGCGCGCAGGCGGUCGUUCAAGUCGAGUGUGAAAGCCCCCGGCUCAACUGGGGAGGGUCAUUCGAUACUGAUCGACUCGAAGGCAGGAGAGGGAAGUGGAAUUCCCGGUGUAGUGGUGAAAUGCGUAGAUAUCUGGAGGAAUACCGGUGGCGAAGGCGGCAUCCUGGACCGGCAUUGACGCUGAGGAGCGAAAGCCAGGGGAGCAAACGGG